rnacentral:tRNA from 1 species
GGACGCGUAGCUCAGGUGGUUAGAGCGCUACCUUGACACGGUAGAGGUCGUUGGUUCGAGUCCAUUCGCGUCCACCA